rnacentral:tRNA from 2 species
AAUAUUUUAUUUUAAGAAGAAUUUUUUUUUUUGAUAAAAAAGGUAUUAAUAUUU